rnacentral:rRNA from 1 species
AUGGGCUUCUCCGACUUCCAGUUCCUACCCAGGGACGGCGCCGGCCGCGACCCGCGCCGCUUCCCCGGCCACCGCGAGGUGCACUGCUACCUCCCGGACUUCUGCGCCGCGUUCGGGCUCAUGGACGCCGUCAGGCUCAACACCCGGGUCGUCCGCGUCGCUCCGACGUCGACGACGACGCGUCAGCGUCAGUGGGCGGUGAGGUCCGUGCGGCGCCUCGGCGGCCCGGAGGAUGGUGCGCGGGUAGAGGAGGAGGAGGAGGAGGUAGUGUUUGACGCGGUGGUCGUGGCCACCGGUCAGUACUCGCAUCCGAUGCUCCCCAGCGGCAUCGAGGGAGUGGGGGAAUGGAGGCGCCGGCAGCUGCACAGCCGCUUGUACAGGACGCCGGAGCCGUUCCGCGGCGAGGCGGUGGUGGUGGUCGGCUGCGGGGACAGCGGCACGGACAUCGCGCUGGACCUCCGCCGCGUCGCCCGGGAGGUGCACCUCGCCGCCAGCUCCGAGGCCGCCACGCCGGCCGUGUCGAGGAUGGUGGCCAACCACGGCGACGUGCUGCGCCUCCACCCGCGGGUGCGCCGGCUGCACGCCGACGGGCGCGUGUCGUUCGCGGACGGCUCCUCCGUCGUCGCGGAUACGGUGUUCUUCUGCACGGGGUACGGCUACUCGUUCCCGUUCCUGGACACGGGCGGGGCGGUCGCCGUGGGCGACGGCGGCUGCGUGGUCGCGCCGCUGUUCGAGGCUUCGAGCACGUGUUCCCGCCGUCCCUGGCGCCGUCGCUCUCCUUCGUGGGCGUGCCGAGGAAGGUCCUGGUGCCGUGGUUCGUCGAGGCGCAGGCGAGGUGGGUCGCGCAGGCGCUGUCCGGCCGCCGCGCGCUGCCGCCGGAGGCGGAGAUGCUGCGGGCCGUGGAGGAGCACUUCCGCGCCAGGGAGGCCGCCGGCGUGCCGAGGAAGCACACCCACCACGGCACCACCACAUCGGCGGCAUUGA